rnacentral:tRNA from 1 species
GGAGAGAUGCCGGAGUGGUCGAACGGGGCGGUCUCGAAAACCGUUGUGGGGGCAACCCCACCCAGGGUUCGAAUCCCUGUCUCUCCGCCA